rnacentral:rRNA from 1 species
UACCAGCACCCCCGAGUGGUCGGGACGAUUAUUGGGCCUAAAGCAUCCGUAGCCGGUCUUACAAGUCCUCCGUUAAAUCCAGCUGCUUAACAGAUGGGCUGCGGAGGAUACUAUAAGACUAGGAGGCAGGAGAGGCAAGCGGUACUCAGUGGGUAGGGGUAAAAUCCGUUGAUCCAUUGAAGACCACCAGUGGCGAAGGCGGCUUGCCAGAAUGCGCUCGACGGUGAGGGAUGAAAGCUGGGGAGCAAACCGGGAUU